GCGGGCGUAGUUCAGCGGUAGAACGCAGCGUUCCCAACGCUGAUGUCGGGAGUUCGAUCCUCCUCGCCCGCU
rnacentral:tRNA from 1 species